rnacentral:rRNA from 1 species
AACGAACGGUUGAAGCGUGGAUUAGGCAUGCAAGUCGAGCGAGGACGGUUCGGGUAGCAAUACUCGGGCCGAGCCGAGCGGCGUAAGGGGCAGUAAGGCGUGGGUAACGUACCCCCCGGACCGGGAUAGCCUCGGGAAACCGAGGGUAAUACCGGGCGAUGUAUCAGGGACGCCUGUCCUUGAUACCAAACGUGUAAAUCGGCCGGGGGAGCGGCUCACGUGGUAUUAGCUAGUUGGUGAGGUGACGGCUCACCAAGGCCCAGAUGCCUAGCGGGUGUGAGAGCACGACCCGCGCCACUGGCACUGAGACACUGGCCAGACACCUACGGGUGGCUGCAGUCGAGGAUCUUCGGCAAUGGGCGCAAGCCUGACCGAGCGACGCCGCGUGCGGGAUGAAGGCCUUCGGGUUGUAAACCGCUGUCGUGGAGGAGAAAGGCUGUGCGGGUUCUCUCGCACGGUCUGAUCUAUUCCAGGAGGAAGCACGGGCUAAGUUCGUGCCAGCAGCCGCGGUAAGACGAACCGUGCGAACGUUGUUCGGAAUCACUGGGCUUAAAGGGCGCGUAGGCGGCGGGUCUUGUCUGGGGUGAAAACCCCCGGCUCAACCGGGGAACGGCCUCGGAGACGGGCCCGCUCGAGAAGGGUAGGGGCCGCGGGAACUUCCAGUGGAGCGGUGAAAUGCGUUGAUAUUGGAAGGAACGCCGGUGGCGAAAGCGCGCGGCUGGACCCCCUCUGACGCUGAGGCGCGAAAGCCAGGGGAGCGAACGGGAUUAGAUACCCCGGUAGUCCUGGCCCUAAACGAUGGGUACUAGGUAGUGGGUGUGACAUGCACUCCCUGCCGAAGCCAAAGUGGUAAGUACCCCGCCUGGGGAGUAUGGUCGCAAGGCUGAAACUCAAAGGAAUUGACGGGGGCUCACACAAGCGGUGGAGCAUGUGGCUUAAUUCGAGGCUACGCGAAGAACCUUAUCCUGGGCUUGACAUGUCCGAAAGGGACAGGAAGUAGCCGCCGGAAACGGCCGGCCAACGGUAUCCAGUCCGGAACCUGUCACAGGUGCUGCAUGGCUGUCGUCAGCUCGUGUCGUGAGAUGUCGGGUUAAGUCCCAUAACGAGCGAAACCCCUGCCCCUAGUUGCCAACGGGUCAUGCCGGGGACUCUAGGGGGACCGCCGGUGUUAAACCGGAGGAAGGCGGGGAUGACGUCAAGUCCUCAUGGCCUUGAUGCCCAGGGCUGCACACGUGCUACAAUGCGGCCUACAAAGGGAAGCCAACCCGCGAGGGGGAGCCAAUCCCAAAAAAGGCCGCCCAGUUCAGAUCGCAGGCUGCAACCCGCCUGCGUGAAGCCGGAAUCGCUAGUAAUCCGGAUCAGCAACGCCGCGGUGAAUUAUCCUGAGCGUGACUCACC